AUUGAACGCUGGCGGCAGGCCUAACACAUGCAAGUCGAACGAGUGGCGGACGGGUGAGUAAUGUAUGGGAACCUGCCUGAUGGAGGGGGCUAACUACUGGAAACGGUAGCUAAUAACGCAUACUAUCGGGUGAUCCCAGAUGGGAUUAGCUAGUAGGUGGGGUAAAGGCUAACCUAGGAGACGAUCCCUAGCUGGUCUGGGAGGAUGACCAGCCACACUGGAACGGAGACAGGGGCCAGACUCCUACGGGAGGCAGCAGGGGGGAAUAUUGCACAAUGGGGGCAAGCCUGAUGCAGCCAUGCCGCGGGUAUGAAGAAGGCCUUCGGGUUGGAAAGUACUUUCAGUGGGGAGGCGUUACCCGCAGAAGAAGCACCGGCUAACUCCGUGCCAGCAGCCGCGGUAAUAC
rnacentral:rRNA from 1 species